AGUGGCGAACGGGUGAGUAAUACAUCGGAACGUGCCCGAGAGUGGGGGAUAACGCAGCGAAAGCUGUGCUAAUACCGCAUACGAUCUACGGAUGAAAGCAGGGGAUUCGCAAGGACCUUGCGCUCAUGGAGCGGCCGAUGGCAGAUUAGGUAGUUGGUGGGAUAAAAGCUUACCAAGCCGACGAUCUGUAGCUGGUCUGAGAGGACGACCAGCCACACUGGGACUGAGACACGGCCCAGACUCCUACGGGAGGCAGCAGUGGGGAAUUUUGGACAAUGGGCGAAAGCCUGAUCCAGCCAUGCCGCGUGCAGGAUGAAGGCCUUCGGGUUGUAAACUGCUUUUGUACGGAACGAAAAGUCUUCGGUUAAUACCUGGGGAACAUGACGGUACCGUAAGAAUAAGCACCGGCUAACUACGUGCCAGCAGCCGCGGUAAUACGUAGGGUGCAAGCGUUAAUCGGAAUUACUGGGCGUAAAGCGUGCGCAGGCGGCCAUGCAAGACAGUGGUGAAAUCCCCGGGCUCAACCUGGGAACUGCCAUUGUGACUGCAUGGCUGGAGUGCGGCAGAGGGGGAUGGAAUUCCGCGUGUAGCAGUGAAAUGCGU
rnacentral:rRNA from 1 species